GAGAUAUUUUCAUCACAUCUCCUACUCCUCUUCUUACUUUCCUACUCCUUUCUCCUUCCUCCUCCAUAAUCACCUCCUUUUAGCUUCCAUUUGUGGUCUUGAGCUCCUCACAAGCACCUCCUCGCUGCCGCCACACCGCCGCCAUUCGACCACCACCUUGUUGUCAUCUCUUUCCUUGCGUUGCUCACCUUUGAUAAGUAGAUAGGUGAUGGCGAUCGGACAACGUGAACUAUAUGCUGCAUUGGGAAUGAUGGGCGGUGAUCACCUAGUUUAAUUUAGUAAACAUAGUAUUAGUGAUGUAGCUAUUUUGAAAGUGUAUCAAACUAUUAUUAUUACUAUUGUUAUUAAUAAAAGAUAAGUACUAUUUUCCGCU